UACAGAGGGUGCGAGCGUUAAUCGGAAUUACUGGGCGUAAAGCGCGCGUAGGCGGCUUUUCAAGUCGGGUGUGAAAUCCCCGGGCUUAACCUGGGAACUGCAGUCGAGACUUUCUAGCUAGAGUAUGGGAGAGGGAAGUGGAAUUUCAGGUGUAGCGGUGAAAUGCGUAGAUAUCUGAAGGAACAUCAGUGGCGAAAGCGACUUCCUGGACCAAUACUGACGCUCAUGUGCGAAAGCGUGGGGAGCAAACAGG
rnacentral:rRNA from 1 species